UCCCUUAGUAGCGGCGAGCGAACAGGGAAGAGCCCAGCGCCGAAUUCCGCGUCUCAAAGGGCGUUUGGAACAUGUGGCGUUUAGGAGGAAUCUCUCCGAGGGCAGACGGUGUCGCAAGUCCCCCUGAACGGGGCUGUGAUCCAGAGCGGGUGCGAGGCCCAUAGCUGGUACCGUCUCCUUCGGGUGUCCCCUCCUUGGAGUCGGGUUGCUUGGGAGUGCAGCCCUAAUUGGGUGGUAAACUCCACCUAAGGCUAAAUACGUCCGUGAGACCGAUAGCAAACAAGUACCGUGAGGGAAAGUUGCAAAGAACUUUGAAGAGAGAGUUCAAGAGUACGUGAAACCGCUCAGAGGCAAACGGGUGGGCCCACGAAAGCCGAAGGCGGGGGGAUUCAGUCGAGAGGACGGUGGGGCAGGACUGGCUGGUUGGACGGACCGUGCCAGGCCGGGUCAGUUCCCGAGAUCUGCCGCCUUUCGACGCAUUUCCCCCUGCUUAGUAGGACGCCGCAACCGGUUGGCGCUGCAGCCAUAAGGGAGAGUAAAUGGAAGGUAGCCAGUGAGUUCUUCUUCGGAGGCGCGAGCUGGUCCUAAGCCGACUCUCCUGGUGCUUGUGGCCCGACCGUGGUCGUGAGUCCCUCAACGGGAUGUCGCCGAGCCCUCUGACUGGAGCKGGAGAARYGGCAGGCUGCUUUCCGCGGAAAAAAUCGAUCGCUUCACGCGUGCAGUGGGCGAUCUCCGGAGGUAGCUGCUGGUGCGUUUUUCUCCUGCGCUGGGCACAGGCAGUUGGCGGCGAGUAGGUCGGUCACCCACCCGACCCGUCUUGAAACACGGACCAAGGAGUCUAACAUGUGCGCGAGUCAUUGGGUCUUGAACAAGCCCAAAGGCGCAAUGAAAGUGAAGACCAGCACUGAAGCUGGUGGAGUUGGGAAACUGUGUCACUGAAGAUGCAGUUGCACCAACGGCCCGUCCCGUCCGCAUCGUCGGUGGGGCGGAGCGAGAGCGUACACGUUGGGACCCGAAAGAUGGUGAACUAUGCCUGGGCAGGACGAAGCCAGAGGAAACUCUGGUGGAGGUCCG
rnacentral:rRNA from 1 species